rnacentral:rRNA from 1 species
AACUAGGAUUAGAUACCCUAUUAUUUAGAAUGUAAAAUUUUAUUCUUGGUUAGUAAUAGUUAUGCUCUUGAAAACUAAAGAUUUUGGCGGUAUUUUAUUCUGUUCAGAGGAACCUGUCUGGUAAUUGAUAUUCCACGAUAAAUUCUACUUUUUCUUAGUUUGCAUAUCGUCGUGGUUAGAACAUUUUUUUAGAAUUUGAAUGUUCAUGAUUUUUUUUUAGAAAGAAGAUCAGAUCAAGGUGUAGCUUAUGGAGAAGUAUAAGAUGGGUUACAUUAAAUUUAUUUAAGGAUUAUUAAUUGCAAUUUAAUAUGAAUUUGGAUUUGAUAGUAAUUUUGAUUAUUUUAUUAAAAUGAUAUUAGCUCUAAAAUAUGUACACAUGGCC